rnacentral:rRNA from 1 species
UACAGAGGGUGCAAGCGUUGUUCGGAAUUAUUGGGCGUAAAGCGCGUGUAGGCGGCUUUGCAAGUCGGGUGUGAAAGCCCUCAGCUCAACUGAGGAAGUGCGCCCGAAACUGCAGAGCUUGAGUACCGGAGAGGAUGGCGGAAUUCCACAAGUAGAGGUGAAAUUCGUAGAUAUGGGGAGGAACACCGGUGGCGAAGGCGGCCAUCUGGACGGAUACUGACGCUGAGACGCGAAAGCGUGGGGAGCAAACAGG